rnacentral:rRNA from 5 species
AAUGAAUUGACGGGGGCCCGCACAAGCGGUGGAGCAUGUGGUUUAAUUCGAUGCAACGCGAAGAACCUUACCUACUCUUGACAUCCAGAGAACUUUCCAGAGAUGGAUUGGUGCCUUCGGGAACUCUGAGACAGGUGCUGCAUGGCUGUCGUCAGCUCGUGUUGUGAAAUGUUGGGUUAAGUCCCGCAACGAGCGCAACCCU